GACGAACGCUGGCGGCGUGCUUAACACAUGCAAGUCGAACGGAAAGGCCCUGCUUUUGUGGGGUGCUCGAGUGGCGAACGGGUGAGUAACACGUGAGUAACCUGCCCUUGACUUUGGGAUAACUUCAGGAAACUGGGGCUAAUACCGGAUAGGAGCUCCUGCUGCAUGGUGGGGGUUGGAAAGUUUCGGCGGUUGGGGAUGGACUCGCGGCUUAUCAGCUUGUUGGUGGGGUAGUGGCUUACCAAGGCUUUGACGGGUAGCCGGCCUGAGAGGGUGACCGGCCACAUUGGGACUGAGAUACGGCCCAGACUCCUACGGAGGCAGCAGUGGGGAAUAUUGCACAAUGGGCGGAAGCCUGAUGCAGCAACGCCGCGUGCGGGAUGACGGCCUUCGGGUUGUAGACCGCUUUCGCCUGUGACGAAGCGUGAGUGACGGUAAUGGGUAAAGAAGCACCGGCUAACUACGUG
rnacentral:rRNA from 1 species